GGAGAUGUGGCUCAGCGGUAGAGUGCUUGUCUUGCAAGUGUGAGGCCCUGGGUUCGAUUCCCAGCACCA
rnacentral:tRNA from 1 species